AUUGAACGCUGGCGGCAGGCCUAACACAUGCAAGUCGAGCGGAGCGGCGGACGCGUGCGUAAUGCCUAGGAAUCUGCCUGGUCGUGGGGGAUAACGUCCGGAAACGGGCGCUAAUACCGCAUCCUAUCAGAUGCGCCUAGGUGGGAUUGGCUAGUGGGUGGGGUAAAGGCCUACCAAGGCGACGAUCAGUAACUGGUCUGAGAGGAUGAUCAGUCACACUGGAACUGAGACACGGUCCAGACUCCUACGGGAGGCAGCAGUGGGGAAUAUUGGACAAUGGGCGAAAGCCUGAUGCAGCCAUGCCGCGUGUGUGAAGAAGGUCUUCGGAUUGUAAAGCACUUUAAGUUGGGAGGCGUUACCAACAGAAUAAGCACCGGCUAACUUCGUGCCAGCAGCCGCGGUAAUAC
rnacentral:rRNA from 1 species